GGGCCUGCACAAGCGGUGGAGUAUGUGGCUUAAUUCGAUGCAACGCGAAGAACCUUACCUGGCCUUGACAUGCAUCUCUAAGCGUGUGAAAGCACGUGACCCCUCGGGGAAUUUGCACAGGUGCUGCAUGGCUGUCGUCAGCUCGUGUCGUGAGAUGUUGGUUAAGUCCCGCAACGAGCGCAACCCUUGUGUCCUGUUGCCACUUCCGCUAGCGCGGAAAGCACUCUGGACAGACUGCCUCGUCUCAACGAGGAGGAAGGUGGGGAUGACGUCAAGUCAGUAUGGCCCUUACGGCCAGGGCUGCACACGUACUACAAUGCCUGGUACAAUGGGAAGCAAUACCGUGAGGUGGAGCAAA
rnacentral:rRNA from 1 species